GAGGUGAUAGCUCAAGUGGUAGAGCGUGUGCUUAGCAGGCAUGAGGUUCUGAGUUCAAUCCCCAGUACCUCC
rnacentral:tRNA from 1 species